CGGGGCCGUGACGCACAUCCGGGGGCGUGGCGAACGGGCCGUUGCCGUGGAGACGCGGGGCGGGCAGCACCGGGAUGGAGGCGGCGGCGGCGGGACCCGCGGGGGAACGGGCGGCGCAGCCGGACGUGCGGAGGCUGCUGGAGGCCCGGCAGCGGCAGCUCCGGGCCCGCAUCGCCGCCUGCGAGCAGCUGGCGGCGGAGAUGGCCGCGCUGCGGGCCGCGCUGCGCAGCGGCCCGGCCGGGGACAGCUCCGGGCCCGGGGCUUCGGGGGCCGCGCAGCCCUGAGCGGCCGGAGCCGGGAGGACCGACGGUCUCCGCUGCGCUCCGGGCUCGGUCGCAGCCCCGCCGGCGGUGCCGGGGAACCCGCAGUCUGAGGAACCGCCGAGCGACUCCCCAGCUGCGGCCUUGGGCUUGGCUCUCUCCUGCUGCACCGAUACCUUAUCUUACUAGAUUUGCACUUUAAAAUAAAGCAACUUUGGCUUAGUCUGCAUCUACAGGGGGGGAAGGAUCCUCACGCUUAUCUCCCAAACAAUUUAUAAAUACUCUUGAGGAAAGACUAUCAUAACACCAUGUUUAAAUAAGCAUUUAAUUAGGAUUCCAUUAGUAUUAAUAUUGCUUUCAAUUCCAAAAAAGUUAAUUUCCACUUCUUUGCAGAUAUUUCAAAGUACAAUAUUAACUUCAUACAAAAUGAGCAAUUAAGCAAACACCAUUAUUUCACAUUUUACAUUCUUCAAAAAAUACAAAUUCAUAUUUACUCUUUUGGGUUUUGGAGAUGCUCUUCCUUUGGAAGUACUGUACCUGUAACUAACAUAUUCACAUUGCUCAAUGUAAGCACAUUUGUUCCCAUGUUUCAUCGUUAAAUAAAUUCCUUUAACACCACGCACACAUUCUUGACAAA